CAUUAAAAAAUAGUGUUAAUGCACUGGAUCCCAUUAGAACUUUGCAGUUAAGUGUGCUUGGGAUAGAGUAGUACUAGGAUGGGUGACUGCCCGGGAAGUCCUAGUGUUUUACAUGC
rnacentral:rRNA from 1 species